UUUGUCCAUUUCCAGAGCAAAUCGUUGGAGAUGUGCCCCUGCAUCACAUCCCUAACUAGCUAGUCAUUUCAAGUAGAAAGGAGGUACAUGUGAAGAAAGAACUCAGAGAAUUGUGUUUCUGUAUCUUUGUGUGUUUGUGUGUGUGUGUGUGUGUGUGUGUGUGAGAGAGAGAGAGAGAGAGAGAGAGAGAAAGACAGGAUCUUCUCUGUCAUCCAGGCUAGAGUGCAAUGGCACGAUCUAAGCUCACUGCAACCUCCGCCUCCCAGGCUUAAGCAAUUCUCGUGCCUCAGCCUCCCCAGUAACUGGGAUUACAGGCAUGUGCCACCUUGUCUGGCUAAGUUUUGUAUUUUUUAUAGAGAUGGGGUUUUGCCAUGUUGCCCAGGCUGGUCUCAAACUCCUGAGCUCAGGUGAUUCACUUGCCUCGGCCUCCAAAAGUGCUCAGAUUAUAAUAGUGAGCCACUAGGCCCAGCCCUGUUUCCAUAUCUUAAAAAUAAUAAUAAUAAUACAAAUAAAAAAGCAUGGAAAUAUGAGUUCUUCCAUUCCUUGAAACUGGGAGUGCAUUAAUUCAUUCUUUCAUUCAGCAAAUAUUUUAGGACCUACUAUGUGUCAGGCUCUUUUCUAAGGGUUGAGAAUUUGAGGCUAAAAAGCAGGGAACAAACAAAUAAAAUAAACUGGCUUCAUGGAGCUUACAAUGCAGUGAAAGAGACAGACCCAACACAUAAAUACACAACUUAAUACCAGGUAGUGGUAAGUGCUUGGAAGAAAAAUAAUGUCAGAUAAAGAAACAAGCAAAAGUGGCAUGGAACGCUUUUAUGAAUUAUGAUCUGGAAAGGACUCUCUGAGGCUGUCUCUUCCUGUCCUUAUUUUAUUCCUUAUUUCAUAUCUUUCCUUUUAUUUCCUUCAGUCAUGCAGACAUCUGAUGGACGAGUCUUCCAGGAAGAAGGAAGGACAAAUACCCUUGAUGUACACGUACUUGGCUGGCCUGAGGAAGAGCAAUGUGGAAGGUGUGGUUGGAACAAUGUGAGAGAGGAAGAUACAGAUAGUUGGGAACAUAUAGUGCCUGUGAAUGACCAGUAUGCUCACUCCAAUAACAUCAGGCAAGCAAUUCCACAUAACACAGAAGAAGGAGCUCCGUGGGAGUAAAAAGGAUGCUCUGGCUUGCAAUGAAGAAAUACAUAAUGAAAAGAAAAAACGUAUUGUCAAAACUUGGUAUCUGCCUGAAGAACACUUUGCCUUCUAAACCAUAAACAGGUAUCAGUGUCCCAGUGCCUUCUGCCAGCUAUUCUCAAGACUCACCAGAAGAGAGAAAUUGAUGACUCUGUAGCUAUAGCAUCCCCAUUAUCAGCAAUUAAUUUUAGUUUAAUGCUUCGAACAUUCUUCAGGCUCAGUGUGCUUUCAUCUAUACACAUUAAUAGUGAGUAGCCUAACAAUAAUUCUGUUUUCACUUUCAGUAUAGUAUUCAAUAAAUUACAUGAGAUAUGUAAAGUGUCACACUUUAUUAUAAAAUAGGUUUUGUGGAGGCCAUUAUCCUUAGCAAACUAAGGCAGGAACAGAAAACCAAAUACAGCAUGUUCUCACUUGUAAGUGGGAGCUAAAUGAUGAGAACUCAUGGACACAAAGACGGGAACAACAGACACUGGGGCCCACUUGAGGGUGGAGGGUGGGAGGAAGGAGAGGAUCAGAAAAAAAUAACAAUUGUGUACUUAGUACCUGGGUGAUAAAAUAAUCUGUACAACAAACUCCCAUAACAAGAGUUUACUUAUGAAAUAGGCUUUGUGUUAAAUGAUUUUGCCCAACUGUAGACUAAUGGAAGUAUUCUGAGAACAUUUCAGGUAGACUAGGCUAAGCUAUGAAGGUCAGUAGGUGUGUUACUGGACAUUAUGCUAAAUGAAAUAAGCCAUUUACAAAAAUAUAAAUACUAUAUGAUUUCUUGUAUGCGAAGUACCUAGAGUAGUCAAAAUCAGAGAGACAGAAACUAUCAUGUUUGUUGCAGGGGCUGGGAGGAGGGAAAAUGGGGUCUUUUUUUGUGGGUAUGAUUUUCAAUUUUACAAGAAAAUAGUUCUGGAGAUUGGUUGCACAAGCAUGUGAAAGUAUUUAACACUAUUUUGAAAGGUACAUUUAAAAAUUAAGAUAGUAAAUACUAUGCUAUAUGUAUUUUGCCACAGUUUAAAAAUUUUAAAGAAAUACUUAUAUGCUAGUUAAAUAUACAAAAUAAUUGACAACUAGGAAUGGGAAAUAAAAUUCGUAUAUUUUAG
ensembl:lncRNA